AGCAUGUGUGUUUUUGCUUCCCUGGUGGACAAGGGACUUAUAGACAGGUGCAAAAAUGCAGUCCACAUUUGCAACCCAGAGCUCAUCAUUCAGUAUGAGUUUUGAUCCAUGUAAGAAGGAAUAUU
rnacentral:snoRNA from 1 species